rnacentral:rRNA from 1 species
GGGUUAAGUCCCGCAACGAGCGCACCUUGUCUUUAGUUACCAUCAUUCAGUUGGGGACUCUAGAGAGACUGCCGGUGAUAAACCGGAGAAGGUGGGGAUGACGUCAAAUCAUCAUGCCCCUUAUGGCCUGGGCUACAAACGUAAUACAAUGGCGUAUACAAAGGGCAGCGAAGCAGUGAUGUGGAGCGAAACCCAAAAAAGCAGUCUCAGUUCGGAUUGAAGUCUGCAACUCGACUUCAUGAAGUCGGAAUCGCUAGUAAUCGCGGAUCAGAACGCCGCGGUGAAUACGUUCUCGGGGUUU